UUCGGCGACCAUACCACGUUGAAAGCACCGGUUCUUGUCCAAUCACCGAAGAUAAGCAACGCUGGUCCCGGUUAUUUCUUGCAUGGGUAAUCGGCUGGGAAUACCAAGUGUUGCUGGCU
rnacentral:rRNA from 1 species